UACGAAGGGGGCUAGCGUUGCUCGGAAUCACUGGGCGUAAAGCGCACGUAGGCGGAUUGUUAAGUCAGGGGUGAAAUCCUGGAGCUCAACUCCAGAACUGCCUUUGAUACUGGCGAUCUCGAGUCCGGGAGAGGUGAGUGGAACUCCGAGUGUAGAGGUGAAAUUCGUAGAUAUUCGCAAGAACACCAGUGGCGAAGGCGGCUCACUGGCCCGGAACUGACGCUGAGGCGCGAAAGCGUGGGGAGCAAACAGG
rnacentral:rRNA from 1 species